rnacentral:misc_RNA from 1 species
CAGUAGCCAGCACCACCCUGCAA